ACCAGGAGGCGCAUAUGCAGCAGCUCGAAGCACAACAUUCGUGCCAGCACAUUCCAAAGAGGCUGCAUCAACAGAAGUAUCACCUGUGCCCAUGGCUGUUGAAAGUGCAAGCAAGGAGGCUGCUGUGGGGCCUUCCCUAAUCUUCGAAACUCGCACGGAUGUAUUGUCAUGUGCAGAAGCAACCACGGUCAUUAGUGAGGAGCUCAACGCAGUGCUUCCAGGGCCCUCGGAACUCUGCAGCAGGGUUUUAGCACCUGGGCAGCCUUCAAAGAAGCCCAUCAGGACCAGCAUUUGAAAACAGCCCCAAGAAUAGAAUAAGCAAGGAGCUGCCCAUACCAACUGCCAUGCUGCUAACACCAAAGACAAAAAGGAAGGGCAUCAUGGUAAACGAUGCUGCCAAUGAAAUUGAUUGUCACAUGCUCAGUUAUGAGGAAUGUUUGCAUGUGAAAAUGUGCAUCUGUCCGUGUAUGUGUAAAUGAAGUUGACGCAUUUUUUGAAAUGUAGCUGACUAAUAAAGAAUGUUCAGGCAACAUUGAACGUGCAUGAACAGGCUCACCAUGACCUUUAUAACAAUGUACUAACAUGCAUCAUGCAUGCAUGUAAAAAUGAGUCAAUAAACCAGUGAUUUCUUACAUGUGA